rnacentral:rRNA from 1 species
UACGUAGGAUGCAAGCGUUGUCCGGAAUUAUUGGGCGUAAAGAGCUCGUAGGCGGUCUGUCGCGUCGGCUGUGAAAUCCCGGAGCUCAACUCCGGGUCUGCAGUCGAUACGGGCAAACUGGAGUACUGCAGGGGAGACUGGAAUUCCUGGUGUAGCGGUGAAAUGCGCAGAUAUCAGGAGGAACACCGGUGGCGAAGGCGGAUCUCUGGGCCAUUACUGACGCUGAGGAGCGAAAGCGUGGGGAGCGAACAGG